UUUUUUGGUCUGGCGGGCUUUGUCGCGAGGAGGGGCUAGGGGAGCUGAUUUGCGGCGACGGGAGCACGCUAGGGCUAGGGGAACUGAUUUGCGUCGCACGCUAGGGGAGGGGAGCUCAUUUGCGGCGGCUACUGGAGGGCCUAGAACACGCUAGAUAGAGCGACGGCGGAUGCAGGCCCCACCGUGGCAGGCCCCAGCUCCGGUUGUAGCCGCAGUAGUUCACGCCUGCAGCUCCGGGGGCUGAGCACCCGGCGGCGGCGGUAGUGGAGUGGGGCCCAGUCCCGCACCGACACUGGCGGCACGCCCGUUGCUCCUCGCGGCGUUCCCGCAUGGCACCUUCCGGACCUAGUUCCUCCUCGUGUCUAGCUCGUUCUAUUUCACACUGCACACCCUCUAACCGGCCCCUCCUAUGGCGGCAUCCACUGCGGUACUUGGCUCCGACUACAACCUCUCGGCGCCGAGACGAACCCUCGGCCGGCCACUCUCCGUCGAGAGGCUCCACCACAACGGGCACCGCCCCUACCUGUUAGGUCACCGGCCGGACGUGGGGACCUGCGAGGACCCCGCCCGGUACUAUCACUCACACUACCCACGACCUCGUCGUACUACGGUUGUUGGUGCUCGAAACCCACGAAUCACACAACCGCUCCGUAUCUUCCCUACUCUCGCUCUAUCUGUACACACACGUACCUAACUCUCUCUCUCUCUCCCUCCAUCUCUCUUCUUCUUAACACGACGACGUCCUUGUCCACAUGCAAGAUAUUGUAGAUAUGAAAUCAACCUUUACCGUCGAAGUGACUUGACGUAGUCAACAAGUCGGUUAAGGAAACUCCAUAAUUGUUCAUCGGCUCGAAAACCACAGUAGAGAUGAGUCCCUUUAUGUACAGUUUAGGAGUAUGUUUUACAACUAGAUAACAAGAAGAUCUUAAUAUCUAAAGGCUUAUUAAUCUACCGGUCAAUACGUUGUGUUAUAAGGGUAUCAUAACUUUAGAAUACAAGAGGUUUCACAGGAAGUCGUUUACCGUGAACUUGAAUUAUACCCUAUGAGGUUUAGGUAUUCUCGUCCGAUAUAGACUAUAAAAGAGGUAUGUUUCAGCCAUCUGAACUAAAUACAAAAGGGGAUGAACAGUUAUACUACCGGGCAACAUUUAUUUACUCCGAACCUGUAGUGAACAUGAACCCUUGAUGAAAAGUCACUGUCGACAUAACUGCUUCCAUGAGAAAAAAAGAAUUUCUAACUAAAGAAGCCACCACACACAAAAUGAAAUGUCAAAACUAUUCUAAGGUACCGGUUAUGUGAAAAAAAGUGUCAAAUGUCGUCUAAUGUCGUCGGAGUUUCCAUUUUACUAGACUUGUAAAAAAAGUGUUAUGUGACCAUCAUGUAUCAUUAUCGGGAGAAUUAUUAAAGAUAUAUUUUCAUCCUAGACUUGUAAAACAACUCAACAAAAACGUGGUCUAGCAACCGGUAAUUGCCAAUAGAUACCGUGAUUUUGAACAACUAGAGUUGUGUAAGUGGAGUGUUGUGAACAACCGACUUUGUACACGUAAUCGUGGAUUCUUCAACUCCAGUUUAAUUACUCCUCAACACACUAGACUCCUCUUUGAUAAGAGAACGUUUAGCCUAUCAACAACAUCCUUAAUUUUCCGUGUACUAACAUGACCCUAAAACAAAGAUGUGCAAGGAGCCGGGAUUACAGAUGUACUCCACACUCAAGUUGCCCAACUCCUUUAGUGUAAUGAUAUUCUUACUACGGCGUCGUUUCUUUUACAACAGUCGGAACCUGCUAGGUAAGUGAGCUAAGAACUUUGGUAAUGGAAAAAACUUCGUUCUUAUCGAUCGUGCGUUCCACGGGAGCGUCCACAUCCAAAUAGGUAACCGAUGGGCAACCUCGUAGUGAACGUCCCGAGAGACAUUACAGUGAAAAACAUCUUUACUGAGAGAUCUCUGCGCUGUAUUCUCGCGUUUUGUAAACUGUCGUCUAGCGAAUACUAUUGUGUAGGUUCCUUCCUUCCUCUAACUCCAGCCGCGGAGAACUUCCGUACGUACGAACAGUGACUCUCUCCCUUCCCGUAGAGAAAAAAACCCAACGUUAAAGGUGGAACAACAACCCACUCUGUACCCCACGUACCAUUUUAAUCCUGUCUGACUUCCGUCGUCUAAGGCACAGCCGACACGUGAAACUCCUCCUGUAACAGAAACAUAUUCACGGGAUGUUAGCAGGGAAAUAUCGGUGUCUAUUCCGGAAGUCUUAGUUUCCAAGUCCUCCUGAAAACAACGUGAUUACGAAGAAGCAACUGGUAGAGCGACAAGAGGGAACGUAUACCUAUACCGGCGUAUUUAGCGUGGCUACCUAGGUCAGGAAGCGGUCCAGGUUGCACGGACGUGGCCGGAGUUCGUGCCCUCUGUGAUAAUGGAACACUAGAUUGACCAAUGGUGUUAGUUUAGGUAAAAACGGGUAAAUUUAAUCAAUCGAGUCAAAACAACUAUUGACUCAAAGUAACCAAUAUAUAUGACUUCACAGAAACAGUAAAACAAAAUGUUAUAUAAGAUUAACAGUCCUAAAAACGAUGUAAAAACCACAUCUAAAAUCCCUGUAAUGGCAUCACGAUUACGGAAGGCACGUCCAAUAAGUCAUUCGCGUAUAAGACAGAAAACCGUACACAUACGAAACGAGAACACGGGUACAUUAGCACUGGACAUUAGUCAGGUACUAGGAACACACUGCACUAGUGUUUUCAACCCGUAUUGACGUAACAAUGACUCUUCUACGCUUAUAAUUGAAUCCCUAGCCUCGACUUCGAGACCGGCUAUCGUUUCUAUACUUCAGACUCGAGACAGAUACAAACGUUCAUAUAACAACACUGAAGUGAGAACGGGGGCAUAACCUGUCUACGAAGUCUUACCUCAGUGAAGAUACACAUACCGGCGACAUUGGUGUGUUGUACUUAAAAGGGGGAAAAAACUAGACUUUAAGACCGUUCUUUGAACAA
rnacentral:rRNA from 1 species